CAAUAGCGUAUAUUAAAGUUGUUGCAGUUAAAAGCUCGUAGUUGGAUUUCUGGUUGAAGCGACCGGUCGGGCGUUGAUUCGUCUGCACUGGAGUCGGUUUUGGCCAUCCUCUAGGAAAGUGCGUCUGGUAUUAAGUUGUCGGGCGUAUGAUCCUGGUCUUUUACUGUGAAAAAUUAGAGUGUUUAAAGCAGGCCUUCGCCUUGAAUACAUUAGCAUGGAAUAAUAAGAUAGGACUUUGGUCUAUUUUGUUGGUUUGUCAGACCGAAGUAAUAGAUUAAUAGGGAGUAGUUGGGGGUAGUUUAUAUUCCGAUGUCAGAGGUGGAAAUUACUUAGAUUUUCGGUAAGAUAAACUUAAUGCGAAAGACAUUUACCUAAGGA
rnacentral:rRNA from 1 species